UGACAAGUCUUCUGGUCUGGUAAAGGCCAUAGCUGUGGCUUACACAAAGACAGGCAAGCAAGCUGCAGUACAGCAGAGAAGAGAUGCCAUCCACAUGCAUCCACUCGACAGAAAUCCCACGCUGAAGACACAGUGUUUUUUGGUGUCACCCCGGGACAUGGUAUAACCCUGCAAGUUAGCAAGAGGAUGGAGAUACAGCUGGAUGGAGACAUUUUAAUACAGGUCAUAAACUGGAGCCCAUGUGCCAUUGGGGAUUAUGUCAGUGAUGGUCAAGGGCACAUGUUUAUUAAUGUUUAUCUUUACAACAUAAAGAAGAAAUCAAACCCAGAGACACAUUUUAUUGAUGAUGAAAGAAACCAUCUGUUGGAUGUCCACAAUAACUCAACUUGAGGUUUUUUGAUUAGGUAAUCUGUGAAAAAAUAAGGCCUUUCCUCUGAGGAAGAGUGGUUAUUUUACAUUAAUAUGCAUAACUUUUCUGCUCUGUGGAAUAA